UGUUGCAAAGUCCUCACAAUAAAUAGCACUAUGAGUUAGAUACACUAUCUUCCUCAUUUUACAGGUGAGGAAACUGAGCACUGAGACAUUAAAUAACUUGCCCAAGGUCAUAGAACAGGAGACCUCAAGCUAGUGGACCUGGCUAAGCCACACCUGGGUCCUGACCCACAGAAACGGUAAGAUACAAAUGGUCUCUUGUUUCAUGCCACUAAGUCUUGAGGU
rnacentral:lncRNA from 13 species